CGCUCUCAUUACCCACCAAGAAUAUUUGGAUUAAAUUGAAACAGCUUCCGAUUCCCUCACAAUUCUGAACUCAUUUUCUUCGUUGCUUCAUAUUCCUCUUUCCUUUGCUUCAAUUUUCUCAUCUCUCCUUCUUCCUUCUCCUAAUCGCUACUGCAACAGGAUCACGGAUAAGUUUCCAGGAUUCCUCUCAUCUGUUUCGGAAGAAUGUCUCGUGUUCGGAAUUUCAGCUCUCAUGGAGGAAUGGCUAAUGAUGAUUACUGGGUCACCAUGAAUCGAUAUGAUGUCGGAGACCACUGUCAGAAGACAAGUAGGAGCAAUUAUUAUGAUUAUGGCUAUAGCCACCAUUUUGAAUUCUCAGGACAGUAUAAAGAGCCGGUUGAUAGGUCUAUUUAUGCGAGGCCUGCUAUUUCCAACUCCAUCAGGCCUCAUAACUAUCAGUCCUUUAAAAGGAGGAAGUUUUCUGCUUCACGUUGGGAGGAUAGUGGGAGGUACCAUUGGCAGGCACGGACAUAUGAUCAUGGACCUUCAAUCUAUAGCAAUUUGGUCCACCCUCCUCCAAGAUCCAACUAUGAUGUCUCUACAUCUGCCAGCUGUAAAAGAGAUCGCUCAAUAAUGGAUGAUGAUGAGCCUUCUUUCAUGUCCAGGGAUGAGAUUGAGAGAUGCUCACCUUCAAGAAAAGAUGGUAUUGACACACUACGUGAAACACAUCUGCGGUACACAUAUUGUGCCUUCCUUCAGAGUCUUGGUUUGCACCUUGAGUUACCCCAGACUACCAUUGGCACUGCAAUGGUUCUAUGCCAUCGGUUUUUUGUUCGAAGAUCACAUGCUUGUCAUGAUAGAUUUUUGAUUGCCACUUCUGCACUCUUCCUUGCUGCAAAAUCCGAGGAGACACCACGACCUUUGAACAAUGUCUUGCGAGCUUCAUCUGAAAUUCUGCACAAACAGGAUUUUAAUCUCUUAUCUUUCAAGCUUCCUGUUGAUUGGUUUGAGCAAUAUCGUGAAAGAGUAACGGAAGCUGAGCAAUUGAUACUGACUACUCUAAACUUUGAACUCAACGUUCAACAUCCCUAUGCUCCUCUUAUGUCUGUUCUUAAUAAGAUAGGUCUUUCACAGUCAAUGUUGGUGAAUCUUGCACUGAACUUGAUCAGUGAAGGGUAAGUUCAUCACUUUAUUUAUUCCACCUGUCCAUUUAAUUUUAAGAAAAUUAACAGGCAAUAUCUCUGUACCUGCAAGAUAGAGAUCUUGCAAUUUAUUGCUUCUCUGCAAUUAUUUUGUCCUUGCAACUGCUUACAGUAAUCUUUCUGGAUUGUCUAGUCUAUUUAGCAAGCAUGUCCUUGCAAUUGUGAAAAGUAGGUCAAUGAUGUAACAUUAAGAAUUAGAUUUGGGAUAUGUGGGUGCAAGAACCUCAAUGGAAUGACAAAUUUCUUGAAUUUUGGCGUUCAUUGUGGCACAAAAGAGGAUGCACUGGUGAUCUUCUUUCCCUCUAGGUAUCAAAAUGGAUCUAUGCUAGCAUGCUCGCCUAUUUGAUAUACUUAUCUGGCGGAUUGAUAUGCUGUUCUUCGAAACUUUUGUUUUACAAGUGAAGUAAAUUUAACCAUGAAUAAGCCCCAUCAACUUGGUACUUGGUGCUAAUGAUUGCCAAUGAGCCUACUGGAUCACUUUCUAUCCUUUCUUAACAAGAAUAUAUAGUUUUCCUCCUCUCCCCGGAGCGUGCUCUCUAGGCCAUUAAUUUUCCUAUACCUUUAAAGAAAUGAAGUCAUUUCCUUAUGGACUUUUUGACUCAGAAAGGCCUUCGUGUGGAAUUGAAUCUGCUAUCCAUUACCUUUAUAACCUAGAGAACCGCUGCCAAUGAUUUUGACUUUGUUCUUAUUUCCCAAUGACGGAUGGUCAAGUGAGUCUGGUAGAGAAUUUUUUCUGAUCAACCUCUUUGGAUGAACAUCUAGCACAGAAGAAGUCACAAUAUGGAUUUAGAUCUAUUAUAAAAAAAGAAAAAAUUGGGCUUUCUUUUCAAGAUUCAAGUGGUCCAUAUGACUCGAAUAUCAUGUUUAGUCACCAGGUUCUUGAUGUUCCAUUAGCAUGCAUACAAGUAAGCAGCCCUUCAAUUGAAAACUUAAAUUUGGGCCUACUUAUGUUUGUAAGUUUAUUUUCUGAUUGCUGUCUAUGCUUGGUGAAUUAUCAUUUGGUAUUUUCUGUUAAUCAUUUUGAGUCAGGGAGGGUGGAACUUAAAAUGUGGCGUUACUAUAACUGGUUCAGGAUGGGCUGAUUCAGAACAGGGAUAUGGGUUAUCUUGAUAGGCAUGGAAUGUAAAUUGUGGAAGAUCAACAAAAAAUUAAAAUAAAAUGAUUUUGGUUCUCCCCCUCCCACGGAGAGAAUAUAAAAUGCAUGCAUUCUUAUAUAGGCGGCCAGCAUGUUCUUUUCCAUUACUUUGUAUGCCUCAUUUUCCCUUUUAUCCCAUCCUUGAUUGAUAGAUAUAUAACUGAAACCUUUUGAACUUUAUUUUUUUGAAGAUGAUGUUUUUUUUUUUUUCUGUCGUUUGUGUUUUGUUUCCAUCGCAGUGAAACCUUAAGUUUUGUUGUUUCACACAAAUGAUUUAAUACAAUUAUUUUGGGAUGGUUUGCUUUUGAAAUUUAUUUGCUGAUCUGUAAAUUUUUUAUGGUUUUUUUUUUCUUUUUUUUCUCCCUCUUCUCGUAGGAGUUCCAUUCAUUUUUGUCCUUGCACUUUCACAUCUUCUUUUUUGGUGUAAUCUUUGCUCCUUCUGCUUUCGGUCAUUCAUCUUUUAAAAUCAUGUAAAUAUCUACCUCUCUUAGCAAUUUUGGAAUGUUUAAGAAACCAUGGUUUUUUAAACUCUGUUAACAAUCAUCAUGUUGGACUUUCAACUUNUUUUUUUUUUUUUUUUUUUUUUUUUUUUUUUUUUUUUUUUUUUUUUUUUUUUUUUUUUUUUUUUUUGCUCGUUAUCAAAUAAAUACCGUUUGCUUGAUAUUUUGGCCUCCCUGGAUUUUGUAAGCUAUUAAAAUUUUGAAACUUUUGUGACUGUUUCAAUUUCCCUCAUUUUGUUUCCUAUGGAGGACUGAACUCCUCUCUCUCUAUUUGGCUUUUAUUUUCAUUAGCCUAUUCUGUUAUUCAUGGCUGUGGAACUUUUUAAAGUAUGUUGUAAAAAUCCAGCACUGUUCUGUAGUUGUAAAGAUGUAUGUCUGGCCUAUUUCAUCUUGCAAUGCAUAGUGGAUGCUUCAUUAUUUGAAUGAAUCUGUAAUUUUCUUUGUUCUGAUUUAUAUAUUGACCUGUCAUUUUAUAUGUUAUGAUUUUAGGAAAUCCUGAAGGUGUAAACUUUUGAAAUAUUCAGUGACAUCAAGGUUUUGCAUUCAAUUUGUUGUACUUAGAAAUCGUGAAUUUUAAUUCCACUCAGGUGAUGUUUGUUUCAAUUUAUAUCAUCAUUAGAAUCACGAUCAUGAAAUAAAUGUGAUCUUCUUGCUUGUGUAAAGGUAGCAUUGUCCAUAGAAACUCCACCUUCUCCUGCCCACCCACCAAAA